ACAUAUUUUGAUUCAAAUGACACUGGAUACACAACCAUUGGAAUUGUUGAGGAAUUAAAGAUGAGGACGAAAGUACCCUCCACAUCACUGAGUUGCCAGUUAGAAGGUGGACACAGGAGUAUAAGGAGUUUUUGGAGGUUGCCUCAACUGCUGGAAAAGAUAAGAAACCUUUCAUAGAGUUAGAUUAUUAUACAUAAUUAUAAUAUCCUUCCUUUUCAUAUUUAUUUAUCUCAAAUUUGCAUUAUUUUUUAAUAAAUUUGACAGGGGAAUGGUUUAAGUGAGAUCACAAGUCACAGGUGUCGUACAUAUUGACUUUUGAUCACAUUCACUCUUUUGUUCAUCAGUAUACUUCCUACUUGAUAUCCUCAUUGAUGUUCUUUCUGAAGCUAAGAAAAUAAUUGAUUCAUGUAUGGCUGCAAAGGGUUGAUGAAAGCGAAUAACUCUGGAAUUAGAAGAGGAAAAGAAAGCUCAAGCUAAAAGAGAUAAGAUGCUACAAAUGCAAGUGUUGCAUUCUUCAUUUAAAUUGUUAAUAUGAAACACAGUAGAUUAGAUGAAUGAAAAUUUAUAUAUUGUAAGAAAUAGAA